UACGUAGGGCGCGAGCGUUGUCCGGAAUUAUUGGGCGUAAAGAGCUCGUAGGCGGCCGGUUGCGUCUGCUGUGAAAAUCCCGGGGCUUAACCCCGGGCGUGCAGUGGAUACGGGCCGGCUGGAGGCAGGCAGGGGAGAAUGGAAUUCCCGGUGUAGCGGUGAAAUGCGCAGAUAUCAGGAGGAACACCGGUGGCGAAGGCGGGUCUCUGGGCCGUAACUGACGCUGAGGAGCGAAAGCAUGGGGAGCGAACAGG
rnacentral:rRNA from 1 species